ensembl:lncRNA
AUGACGACUAGUUCAGCUGUGAAUUGUGAUCCGUCUCUGCUGUGUUGCAGUAUUUCCAGCAAGAAAAGAAUCAUGUGUCCUCUGUGGCCUCUGCUGUUUCUUCUUGUUUCAGCACAGUGUCAGACUCUGUUUGAUAAUUUCUCACUGGAGCUGAAGCCACCAAAUGAGAGAGAAUUAUUUGUCAAUGAUAAAGUUGUCUUGCAAGUUGUUGUUUCUGGAGAUAAAUGUCAGUCAGCGGAAAAGGCUUCAGUGGCAUGCAAAGUAAAGAAUGAAUCAGGAAAUAUAUACUUUUCUGAGGACACUUCACAGUUUAUAAGAAUCGAAAAUGUCACUGUUGAUGCAAAUAAAUGGUUUGAUGGUGAACCGGUCACCUGCACCAUUCAUGACCCAAAUAACAACAGAGACUUCCAGUGGGAGAUCCGUUUCGACAAAGGAGAUGGACAGAAACCCAGUGUUUUCAUUUACAAACCUAAUUUUAUUGGCGCAGACAGAGUCUCUCUGGUGUGUGAGGUCACCAGCCCUAAACUUGGCAAUGUCUAUAUCAUGUGGAAAGUGGACAAUGGUCCUUACAGAAAAGGCUCAACCAGCGCUCCCAUCCAUCAACCGAACUCCACAUCUGUACUCAGCAUACUAACAUUUUCAAAAGAAGAGUAUGAAGCUUCCAAGACCACCAUCACCUGCGCAGUCAUACAUGCCAACAUGAAUAAUAGAAGAGCUCCAUUACAAGUUUCAGCAUUCCAAAGUAUACAGCCAGAGAUAUCUUGUGAUUAAAGAACUGGACCAAAUGAUCACUGUGUUUAUGAUGUUGACUUCUAUGUUCUCAUCAGAUCAUAUAUCUUCGGUGUUCGUGCACUUUUCUG